UUGAAAGUGGAGCUUGCUUAAG
rnacentral:misc_RNA from 1 species